CGUUUGGUUUGCCCGAUUAAUUUAGCAAACGGAACUCCUGUAAACCCGCACAACGUGCGCCUGCACACAGCCGCGGGCGCCCUGCGCUCCCAGGGAGAACCCAGCGCUGUAACAAAGCUUUUUGGGGGAAAGCGUUUCUGAGUGAAGUUCCGUUUUCUGUCGGGCGCACAGACGGCACGAGGCGAGGCUGCCCUGCGGGAGGAGCGCCUUCAUUUCCGUGCGCGAGCAAAGCGACCGCUGCCGUCGAUGCUCCUGGAGGAGCAUCUCAGCCCACAGUAUGGAAGAGUAAAGCACUGGAAGAAGAAUGAAUCCCGUGAUUGUGCCCCUGGAGGGGCUGCACUGGGGCUGUUGGCCGGACCCCUCCUUUGUGGAGCUGGGUCCCCCUGUGAGGAUUGAGUGCAGAGACAGAUUCGUGUAUGGAUUGCCUUCCUUCCGAUUCCAUUAAGGAGGGCGAAGCGGGGCCCGGCGCGGCCGUGGCGGAGCAUCCAGGUCCUGGCAGGGCAGCCCAACGCCUGCAGCAGGUUUGUGCCACGCAGGGUUUCUGCUCCUCACCUUUGCUGCAUGCCUGCAGUGGGAAAUGUGGCAGGCAGACCUGACAACUGCAGUGACCAAAAAUGUUUGACUCGCUGUUUCUCAUUCGUCAUGAGGAAAAAGAGCUGGGACUCAUUCACAGAAAUAGGGGAAUGCCUUCAGAGGUGUGCCAUAGGGAAAGCCAAGAUUUGUGGCACAGCUGGCAGCUGGAAGCUUCUCAGUGUCUGCAGUUGGGAGCACUCAUCUUCAGGCAGGCGGUGAGAAGGCAGGUUAGAUCUCAUGCAGGAGAGCACUGCGGUCUCAGAUGGUGCCUCUCAGCAGCGUGCUGUGUGCUGUGGGACUGAUCCUGCCGCUGCCAGCCACUGUCCUCAGCUCCCAGUGGUGAAAAUAGGUGGAGAAACUCAGAGAUAUGGAGCUGACGGGAGAGCUGGUGGAGGUGCAGCUGAGCAAUGCUGAGCAGUUUUUAUCUGCAAGUUAAAGAAAAUUGAAUUCCAUGGUACCAAACACAGCACGGCAGCGUACACUGGAAGAUGUCUGUCCCAGAUGCAGGUGGAAAGGGUUUUUUUUUCCCUCAUCAAUUCAUCAGCUGCACUGAGAACGUGCUUUUGAGUUGAUUGUUAUUUAUAUUGAUGUUAUGAUUUAUUAUAGGCAGUAAACUGAAAAUCAAACGACGUCUUAUUUGAGCUAUGUAAGACUUUUCAAAUCUGUAC